rnacentral:lncRNA from 1 species
ACGGGGCCUUGUUCUCAACGCAUGUGUAUUUCCUAUUUUUUUUUAUGAUCAGCUAAAGAUUUCUUUUGCAUCUGCCAAGGAACUAUUUUCACAAAUAAGUAUGUAAAUCCUCUGUAAAUGUAUGCUAAUUACUUAUUUUAAUUACAAUGUAAAUAAGUAAUUACUGAAUAAUUUUAAAGUAUUUACAUGGGGGUUGUGUGAUUUAAAAGCUAACUUGUUGGAAGUAUAAAAACUAUAAAUUUUACAGCAAUUAUACCACAAUUUAUACACUGUGGCCAAAUACAAUUUCCAUGUGCUUCAUAAGAGAUAAAUAAAUACGUAAUUCCCCAGUAAUUACUGCAUAAUAACAAAACUAUUCCAUGUUUAUUUUUUCCCUGUUAAGUGAAAAAUGCCCUUACACUAAAACAAAUUCAGGAUGAGAUUUUUCACAAGGAUAAAUGAACAUCCAUUCAUCUGAUCCCAAGGAAAUUUCUAAUGAGUAAAAAAUAAAAUAAAAUAAAUACAUUUCAAAACAGAGGGGGGAAGAGAAUAGGAAGAGGAGAAAAAACAUAGGUGAAGCACAGGGAAACGCAGGGAAAAGACCACUCCUGGCCCCCGGCCUUUGCCCCUCCACGAGCCUCCACGGUGCUGAUCACUCGGGGACGGCGCCGCUCCACGGGACGUUCCUGCAGGGUCCCGGCCACGCUGAGGGUGCCCAGGCACGGGGCUGUGUGGAUGCUCCCCGGCGCUGGCUGCUUCCUCUCAUGGCUGCUGUUUCCUGCAAACGCUGAUGUGGGAGCAGAGCUCGGCAGGAAAUUGGCAAUCAAAAGUCCGUGCAGCUCUCCCUCCGUCCGGCGGGCCAGGGCCUGGCCCCACGCCACAGCAGGGCUGCCAGAGCUGCGAGGGCAUGAGGCGGCAUGCGGCAGCCCAGAGCUCCUUCCCUUUGCUGCCAUCUUGCCUAGGGGACACGGAAACGCCUCACCCUGCAAGGGGGCACCCACGCCGGCUCCUCGGGACCGAGGCGGCUGCUGCCCUCCUCGAGCUGCGCCCAGGCCCGGGGAUCUCCCGCGCUGCGGCCUCGCCGCCGGGCAAGGGUUAAGGGACAUGGCAGCUCCACUGGGCGCAUUCAUUACUACUGAUGCAAAAAUGACCAUUAAGGAAUCAUGACAGAGACCCUGCUCAUUUGUGGCUGGGACAAAGCACAGCUGCCUGGGGCUGCCUAAUGAAAUCUGAAACCAUCACAUUUAUUUGUCAUAUGGGUGUAACACAUUUGCUGAGCACUCUAAUAAAUGUAAUAAUCCAAAUAUUCCUCCA